UUGAACGUUGGCGGCAGGCCUAACACAUGCAAGUCGAGCGGAUGAAGGGAGCUUGCUCCUGGAUUCAGCGGCGGACGGGUGAGUAAUGCCUAGGAAUCUGCCUGGUAGUGGGGGAUAACGUCCGGAAACGGGCGCUAAUACCGCAUACGUCCUGAGGGAGAAAGUGGGGGAUCUUCGGACCUCACGCUAUCAGAUGAGCCUAGGUCGGAUUAGCUAGUUGGUGGGGUAAAGGCCUACCAAGGCGACGAUCCGUAACUGGUCUGAGAGGAUGAUCAGUCACACUGGAACUGAGACACGGUCCAGACUCCUACGGGAGGCAGCAGUGGGGAAUAUUGGGCAAUGGGCGAAAGCCUGAUCCAGCCAUGCCGCGUGUGUGAAGAAGGUCUUCGGAUUGUAAAGCACUUUAAGUUGGGAGGAAGGGCAGUAAGUUAAUACCUUGCUGUUUUGACGUUACCAACAGAAUAAGCACCGGCUAACUUCGUG
rnacentral:rRNA from 1 species